GUUUAAAUAGCUUAUAUUUUAGAGCAUAAUAUUGAAGAUAUUAGGGAAAUUUUAGAAUUUUUAAAUA
rnacentral:tRNA from 1 species